rnacentral:rRNA from 1 species
AGAGUUUGAUCAUGGCUCAGGACGAACGCUGGCGGCGUGCUUAACACAUGCAAGUCGAGCGGAAAGGCUCCUUCGGGGGUACUCGAGCGGCGAACGGGUGAGUAACACGUGAGUAAUCUGCCCUUCACUUCGGGAUAACUGCCUGAAAGGGUGGCUAAUACCGGGUAUUCUCCUUGCACCGCAUGGUGUGGGGUGGGAAGUUUUUUCGGUGGGGGAUGUGCUCGCGGCCUAUCAGCUUGUUGGUGGGGUAAUGGCCUACCAAGGCUUUGACGGGUAGCCGGCCUGAGAGGGUGACCGGCCACACUGGGACUGAGACACGGCCCAGACUCCUACGGGAGGCAGCAGUGGGGAAUAUUGGACAAUGGGCGGAAGCCUGAUCCAGCAACGCCGCGUGAGGGAUGACGGCCUUCGGGUUGUAAACCUCUUUCAGCACAGACGAAGCGCCUGUGAAGGUGGUGACGGUAUGUGCAGAAGAAGCACCGGCCAACUACGUGCCAGCAGCCGCGGUAAUACGUAGGGUGCGAGCGUUGUCCGGAAUUAUUGGGCGUAAAGGGCUCGUAGGCGGUUUGUCGCGUCGGGAGUGAAAUCCACUGGCUUAACUGGUGGCUUGCUUUCGAUACGGGCAGACUGGAGGUAUGCAGGGGAGAACGGAAUUCCUGGUGUAGCGGUGAAAUGCGCAGAUAUCAGGAGGAACACCGGUGGCGAAGGCGGUUCUCUGGGCAUGUCCUGACGCUGAGGAGCGAAAGUGUGGGGAGCGAACAGGAUUAGAUACCCUAGUAGUCC